CCCAACUUUUCAUCUUACUUUCCAUGGUUCUUCUAAGUUGCCUGGUUUCUUCAGCCGUACAGGGUAAUGAACAAUUAUAAAUAAUUCUUUCAUGAAAUUUCAAUGGUCGUCCUUUUGUUUAAAGUUCAUUUUGUCAACCUUGAGUACUCACCCCAUGUAAAGAUCUAGAGUGGUUUUGUACAUAGGAAUUUAUCGGUGGCGACAAAAUCUGAAUAUUUCCCACUACUAAUUGUAUGCCCACAAAAGUAUUUCGCGAAAUGCUUUACUAUUUCUCAGUCGACUAAGAAAUAGUCAGCCCUCUGAUCUAUGCAACGAUCCAUACUGCCACGUUCUGUUUCUUUGGCACAUCACUUUUUCUGAUCUUUUUACCUCUUAAAUUGUACGUGUGUGUACUUAUGUAUAAAGUUGCACAUAUUAUUAAGCAACUUCUUGAAAAAUUAUACAAUUCUUUUACGUACUUACAUAUCAUUUUUGUAAAAAGACUAAAAGUUAAGAGCACCUCCAACAGGCGCCUAAAAAGAGCUCCGCGCGCUAAAAAUUCGUUUUUUGGGGCGCCGAAUAGCUUUUCUGAAUUUUUAUUGUGCCCUCCCUUUUCUGAUUUUUUUCCUAACUCAAAAUCUUUAUUAGUGGAAUGUUUCUCAUUUGUACAAGAAAAAAGGGUUGACUAGGGAAUAUGGAAACUAUCUAGCCCCUUGUCAAAUUUUCCGGAGACGGGCGUGCUUGGGGUUGGGGGAUCUAUGGUGAGCUCCAGGGUAUCCGGAACGGGGCUGGCAGCGACCAAUUGCUCCAGAUCCUGGUCACUUAUGGCAAUACUUACCAAAGUGAGAUGCCGGAGGCGAGGAAGGAACACGUCGGUGCCGGCGAGGAACUCGAACGAGAAGAGGCUGAGCUCCUGUAGCGAGUCACAGCGGAGGAUGUCGGCGGGAAGGAGAUUGCCAGGAACAAGGUUAAACUGGUUGAAUCGGUCACCGAGCUGGAGUUUCUGCAGGCGUUUGGCCGCAAGGAUGCGAGGCCAGUCGGCGAGCUCGAGGUGCAGGUCGAGGAGCUUGUAGUAAUAGAAACCUAAGGAGACAGAGAGGAAGGGGCCUGGGUGGUCGGUGAGGACUCGGGCGUCGGUGGCGAUGGAGGCGUUGCGCUCGAUGACAUGGUCUAGGACGAGCGGGGUGGAGUGCCAGAGGUGGCGCCGGCGGGACGCGAGGGCGGCUGUGCGGGCGGCUUCCGCGACUGGGAGGCGGGUGAUGAUGCGGUGGAGGAGGUCGUCGUGGAGGGCGCUGAUGCAGUCCACGCCGCCGGCACCGACUAGGCGAGGGGUGGAGGAGGAUAGGAGAGGGGAGCGCGCCUGGGGGAGGAAGAAGGUGGCGGCGGCGGCCGGCGGCGGGGAAGACCUAAGCAGUGCUGCGGCUUCGGUCGCCAGAGGUUGAGAUGAGUGAUUGGGUGGGGGUGGUCAAUGGGGAGUUUCGGGAGGGCUGGCUGGGCUGGGUCGUUUCGAUGUCUGAUGGGCCGUCUGGGAAUCAGGGCCCAAUUAACUAAUAUCCUUCCAAGUUCAUGAAUGAAUCCUUUAAAUUUUUAUUUACUACUCCUUUGCUAUAAUCAAUUUCCUCAAUUUUGGAAUAAGGAAACAAUUCGGAUUUUGAUUUCUCCUUGUUUUCAUUCAACAAUGAUAAUUUCAUUUCAAUUUUGGAAACACGCUGUCAGGAAAUAGGCCUGUACAUGCUAUGUGCAUGGCAAUGUUAAUGUGUCAGUUUAUUUGGGCUAAGCUGAGUCCUCAAGGUAAGAUGCACAAUCUUAUGUGAAACGAUUGCCCUUUGUAGUUAACUUGGCAGUGGUAGUAGCAUCACUUAGAUUUCUAAUGCAAUCCAACAUUACAAUUUUUAUUUUGUUGGUGAAGUACCACCUGUAUGCAACUUCCACAACGGAAUAUUCCAAACUAUAGAAUGGUCUCAGUGUACAAUUUUUCAAAUCCCCAUUGAACAACAUGAAGGAAGAUGCUCUCCCAGUAAUGGUCAUCAACUAUUUUAAAAACUACUUUGACUUAUAUGGAGAGGACUAUUAUCCUUGUAUAAAUUGACCAAGAAGGUCUGAUGUGUGCUAUUUUUUAAUAGUGUUAAACGGUAUACUUUCCAUAUUUAGCUAUGAUCUCCAAAACGAGUAACAAACUUUUCAUGCUAGAGUUAUCGUUAAGUAUAUGUAUACCUGUGAUAUGCUUUUGGACAGUUUCAUCGUAUAUCUUUUGUAGCUCAUGCAUUGCUACCUUUCUCUUGAGCAUGGAUCUCUUACAAUAGUUUGAAGCAAAAUAUGAGGUUGUGUGAUGUAAAUGUUGAUAUAUAUCACAGGCUCGCAGCUUUGGCUUUCAAGCGAUCCAGGAAGGUAAACCCGAAACAUAAGAACUUGAUUGAUGUCUCUAUAGUCUCAAACUCAAUGCGACCAUAGCACUAAUUUCCUUCUCCCAAUUUCUUUUCAUUCCCAUCUAAAAAAAAUUAUGCAUGUUCAGUGCUCAAUUCAAGUUUGCUCACCAAGGGAUACCUAUAUGUUUUUGCAUUUUGGUGGGAAGUAGCUUAAUUUGCCUCUCUUUUGUUUUCUUCAGAAUUAGAUGGUGAAAAUGUUGUUGGCACUCUAUUCGGUUUUUGCUACAUUCUUAGUUAUAAUUCUUGAUCAACAACGAAAGAGUUAAUAAAAUUCAAAUUUAGUUCAUUUAAAGAUCCUUAUUCCAAGGUCUAUGGUGGCCAACUGCACCCUUAUCUACAACAAGAGUUUGGAGCCCUAUGUUCUAGAAAUUUCAUACCAUUUAAAUGGGAUAUAGUGUUGGGGAACGUAGUAAUAAUUCAAAAAAAAUUCCUACGUGUCACCAAGAUCAAUCUAGGAGAUGCUAGCAACGAGAGAGAGGGAGUGCAUCUUCAUACCCUUGAAGAUCGCUAAGCGGAAGCGUUACAAGAACGCGGUUGAUGGAGUUGUACUCACGGCGAUUCAAAUCGCGGAAGAUCCGAUCUAGCGCCGAACGGACGGCGCCUCCGCGUUCAACACACGUACAGCCCGGGGACGUCUCCUAUCCAGCAAGGGGAGAGGAGAGGUUGAGGGAGAACUCCGGCAGCACGACGGCAUGGUGGCAAUGGAGCUCGUGGUUCUCCGGCAGGGCUUCGCCAAGCACUACGGAGGAGGAGGAGAUGUAUGAGGAGGAAGGGGCUGCGCCAAGGGAAGGGUAUGGCUGCCCUCCCACCCCCUCACUAUAUAUAGGGGGGAGGGGGGAGGGGGCCGGCCCCUCUAGAUGCAUCUAGAGGAGGAGGCGCGGCCAGGGGAAACCCUAGAUGGGUUUGGGCGCCCCCACCCCCUAGGAAACUUGCCCCCCAAGCCGGGAGGGGCGGCUGCCCUAGGGGUGGCGCCCCCACCCCUCCUGGUUACGUGAGAGGGGUUGGGAGGGGCGCACAGCCCCUUAGUGGGCUGGUUUGCCCCUUCCCCUUGGCCCAUAAGGCCCCCCAACGCUUGCCGGGGACUCCGAAACCCCUUUCGGACAUGCUGGCCAUAGCCUGGUACCCUCGGAACAAUUCCGGACUCCAAUACCCUUCGUCCAAUAUACCGAUCUUCACCUCCGGACCAUUCCGGAGCUCCUCAUCAUGUCCAGGAUCUCAUCCGGGACUCCGAACAACCUUCGGUAACCACAUACUAUUUCACAUAACAACUCUAGCGUCACCGAACCUUAAGUGUGUAGACCCUACGGGUUCGGGAACCAUGCAGACAUGACCGAGACAUUCUCCGGCCAAUAACCAACAGCGGGAUCUGGAUACCCAUGUUGGCUCCCACAUGUUCCACGAUGAUCUCAUCGGAUGAACCACGAUGUCGGGGAUUCAAUCAAUCCCGUAUACAAUUCCCUUUGUCUAUCGGUAUGUUACUUGCCCGAGAUUCGAUCGUCGGUAUCCCAAUACCUCGUUCAAUCUCGUUACCGGCAAGUCUCUUUACUCGUUCCGUAACGCAUGAUCCCGUGGCUAACUCCUUAGUCACAUUGAGCUCAUUAUGAUGAUGCAUUACCGAGUGGGCCCAGAGAUACCUCUCCGUCAUACGGAGUGACAAAUCCCAGUCUCGAUUCGUGCCAACCCAACAUACACUUUCGGAGAUACCUGUAAUGCACCUUUAUAGCCACCCAGUUACGUUGUGACGUUUGGUACACCCAAAGCAUUCCUACGGUAUCCGGGAGUUGCACAAUCUCAUGGUCUAAGGAAAUGAUACUUGACAUUAGAAAAGCUCUUAGCAAACGAACUACACGAUCUUGUGCUAUGCUUAGGAUUGGGUCUUGUCCAUCACAUCAUUCUCCUAAUGAUGUGAUCCCGUUAUCAAUGACAUCCAACGUCCAUGGUCAGGAAACCAUAACCAUCUAUUGAUCAACGAGCUAGUCAACUAGAGGCUUACUAGGGACAUGUUGUGGUCUAUGUAUUCACACAUGUAUUACGGUUUCCAGUUAAUACAAUUAUAGCAUGAACAAUAGACAAUUAUCAUGAACAAGGAAAUAUAAUAAUAACCAUUUUAUUAUUGCCUCUAGGGCAUAUUUCCAACAGUCUCCCACUUGCACUAGAGUCAAUAAUCUAGUUCACAUCACCAUGUGAUUAACACUCAAAGUUCACAUCGCCAUGUUACUAAUACCCAAGAAUUUACUAGAGUCAAUAAUCUAGUUCACAUCACCAUGUGAUUAACUCUCAAUGAGUUCUAGGGUUUGAUCAUGUUAUGCUUACGAGAGAGGUUUUAGUCAACGGGUCUGCAACAUUCAGAUCCGUGUGUGCUUUACAAAUCUCUAUGUCAUCUUGUAGAUGCGGCUACCACGCGCUACUUGGAGCUAUUCCGAAUAACUGCUCUACUAUACGAAUCCGGUUUACUACUCAGAGUCAUCCGGAUUAGUGUCAAAGUUUGCAUCGACGUAACCCUUUACGACGAACUCCUUUUCCACCUCCAUAAUCGAGAAAAUUCCUUAGUCCACUAGAUACUAAGGAUAAGUUCGACCGCUGUCAUGUGAUCCAUUCCUGGAUCACUAUUGUACCCCUUGACUAACUCAUGGCAAGGCACACUUCAGGUGCGGUACACAGCAUAGCAUACUGUAGAGCCUACGUCUAAAGCAUAGGGGACGACCUUCGUCCUUUCUCUCUCUUCUGCCGUGGUCGGGUCUUGAGUCUUACUCAAUACUCACACCUUGUAACACAGCCAAGAACUCCUUCUUUGAUGAUCUAUUUUGAACUCCUUCAAAAUCUUGUCACGGUAUGUAUUCAUUUGAAAGUACUAUUAAGUGUUUUGAUCUAUCCUUAUAGAUCUUGAUGCUCAAAGUUCAAGUAGCUUAAUCCAGGUUUUCCAUUGAAAAACACUUUUCAAAUAACCCUGUAUGCUUUCCAGAAAUUCUACAUCAUUUCUGAUCAACAAUAUGUAACAACAUAUACUCAUCAAAAAUUCUAUAGUGCUCCCACUCACUUCUGUGGAAAUACAAGUUUCUCAUAAACUUUGUAUAAACCCAAAAUCUUUGAUCAUCUCAUCAAAGUGUACAUUCCAACUUCGAGAUGCUUACUCCAGUCCUUAGAAGGAUUGCUGGAGCUUUGCAUACUUGUUAGCAUCUUUUAGGAUUGAUAAAACUUUCUGGUUGUAUCACAUACAACCUUUCCUCAAGAAAAUCGUCGAGGAAACAAUGUUUUGACAUCCUAUCUGCAAGAUUUCAUAAAUAAUGCAGUAACUGCUAAUAUAAUUCCAACAGACUCUUAGCAUCUCUACGAGUGAGAAAGUCUCAUCGCAGUCAACUCCUUGAACUUGUCGGAAAACAUCUUAACCACAAGUCGAGCUUUCUUAAUGGUGACACUCAUUGUCUGUCUUCCUUUUAAAAUCCAUCUGCACCCAACAGCCUUACGACCAUCAAGUAGUUCUUCCAAAGUCUAUACUUUGUUUUCAUACAUGGAUCCUCUCGGAUUUUAGGGCCUCGAGCCAUUCGUCGAAAUCCGGGCCCACCAUCGCUUCUCCAUAGCUCAUAGGUUCAUCGUUGUCCAACAACAUGACUUCCAAGACAGGAUUACCAUACCACUAUGAAGUAGUACGCAUCCUUAUCGACCUACGAGGUUUGGUAGUGACUUGAUCUGAAGUUUCAUGAUCACUAUCAUCAGCUUCCACUUCAAUUGGUGUAGGCGCCACAUGAACAACUUCCUGUGCCCUGCUGCACACUAGUUGAAGUGACGGUUCAAUAACCUCAUCAAGUCUCCACCAUCCUCCUACUCAAUUCUUUCGAGAGAAACUUUUCCUCAAGAAAGGACCCGAUUCUAUAAACAAUCCCUUUUGCUUCCAGAUCUGAGACAGGAGGCAUACCCAACUGUUUUUGGGUGUCCUAUGAAGAUGCAUUUAUCCGCUUUGGGUUCGAUCUUAUUAGCCUGAAACUUUUUCACAUAAGCAUCGCAGCCCCAAACUCUUAAGAAACGACAGCUUAGGUUUCUCUAAACCAUAGUUCAUAUGGUGCCAUCUCAACGGAAUUGCGUGGUGCCCUAUUUAAAGUGAAUGCGGUUGUCUCUAAUGCCUAACCCAUAAACGAUAGUGGUAAUUCGAUAAGAGACAUCAUGGUAUGCACCAUAUCCAAUAGGGUGCAGUUAUGAUGUUCGGACACACCAUCACACUAUGGUGUUCCAGGCGGUAUUAGUUGUGAAACAAUUUCCACAAUGUCUUAAUUGUGUGCCAAACUCGUAACUCAGAUAUCUCCAUGAUCAUAUCAUAGACAUUUUAUCCUCUUGUCACGACGAUCUUCAACUUCACUCUGAAAUUACUUGAAUCUUUCAAUAAUUCAGACUUGUGUUUCAUCAAGUAAAUAUUCUUAGCAUCUACUCAAAUCAUCUGUGAAGUAAGAACAUAAUGAUAUCCACUGCGUGCCUCAGCACUCAUUGGACUACACACAUCAAAUGUAUUACUUCCAACAAGUUGCUAUCUUGUUUCAUCUUACUGAAAACGAGGCCUUUCAGUCAUCUUGCCCAUGUGGUAUGAUUUGCAUGUCUCAAGUGAUUCAAAAUCAAGCGAGUCCAAACGAUCCAUCUGUAUGGAGUUUCUUCAUGCAUAUCUACCAAUAGACAUGGUUCACAUGUCUCAAUCUUUUCAAAAAUGAGUGAGUCCAAUGAUCCAUCAACAUGGAGCUUCUUCAUGCGUUUUUAUACCAAUAUGACUCAAAUGGCAGUGCCACAAGUAUGUGGUACUAUCAUUACUAUCUUAUAUCUUUUGGCAUGAACAUGUGUAUCACUACGAUCGAGAUUCAAUAAACCAUUCAUUUUAGGUGCAAGACCAUUGAAGGUAUUACUCAAAUAAACAGAGUAACCAUUAUUCUCCUUAAAUGAAUUACCGUAUUGCGAUAAACAUAAUCCAAUCAUGUCUAUGCUCAACGCAAACACCAAAUAACAAUUAUUUAGGUUUAACACCAAUCUCGAUGGUAGAGGGAGCGUGCGAUGUUUGAUCACAUCAACCUUGGAAACACUUCCAACACAUAUCGUUAUCUCACCUUUAGCUAGUCUCCGUUUAUUCCGUAGCCUUUUAUUUCGAGUUACCAACACUUAGCAACCGAACCGGUAUCUAAUACCCUGGUGCUACUAGGAGUACUAGUAAAGUACACAUUAAUAUAAUGUAUAUCCAAUAUACUUCUGUCGACCUUGCCUGCCUUCUCAUCUACCAAGUAUCUAGGGUAGUUCUGCUUCAGUGACCGUUCCCCUCAUUACAGAAGCACUUAGUCUCGGGUUUGGGUUCAGCCUUGGGUUUCUUCACUAGAGCAGCAACUGAUUUGCCGUUUCAUGAAGUAUCCCUUCUUUCCCUUGCCCUUCUUGAAACUAGUGGUUUUACUAACCAUCAACAAUUGAUGCUCCUACUUGAUUUCUACUUUCGCGGUGUCAAACAUCGCGAGUUGCUCAAGGAUCAUCAUGUUUGUCCCUGAUAUGUUAUAGUUCAUCACGAAGCUCUAAUAGCUUGGUGGCAGUGACUAUGGAGAACCAUCACUAUCUCAUCUGGAAGAUUAACUCCCACUCGAUUCAAGCGAUUGUAGUACUCAGACAAUCUGAGCACAUGCUCAACGAUUGAGCCUUUCUCCCUUAGUUUGCAGGCUUAAGAAACUUGUCAGAGGUCUCAUACCUCUUGACGUGGGCACUAGUCUGAAAUCCCAAUUUCAGUCUUUGGAACAUCUCAUAUGUUCUGCGACGUUUCAAAAAUGUCUUUGGCGCCUCAAUUCUAAACCGUUAGCAUUACACACUGAACUAUCACGUAGUCAUCAAAACGUGUAUGUCAGAUGUUCGCAACAUCCACAGACGACGCUCGAGGUUCAGCACACCGAGCGGUGCAUUAAGGACAUAAGCCUUCUGCGCAGCAAUGAGGAUAAUCCUCAGUUUACGGACCCAGUCCGCAUAAUUGCUACUGUCAACUUUCAACUAAAUUUUCUCUAGGAACAUAUCUUAAACAGUAGAACUAAAGCGUAAGCUAUGACAUAAUUUGCAAAGACCUUUUGACUAUGUUCAUGAUAAUUAAGUUCAUCUGAUUAUUUAAUGAACUCCCACUUAGAUAGACAUCCCUCUAGUCAUCUAAGUGAUACAUGAUCCGAGUCAACUAGGCCGUGUCCGAUCAUCACGUGAGACGGACUAGUCAUCAUCGGUGAACAUCUUCAUGUUGAUUGUAUCUACUAUACGACUCAUGUUCGACCUUUCGGUCUCUUGUGUUCUGAGGCCAUGUCUGUACAUGCUAGGCUCGUCAAGUCAACCUAAGUGUUUCGCAUGUGUAAAUCUGGCUUACACCCGUUGUAUGCGAAUGUUAGAAUCUAUCACACCCGAUCAUCACGUGGUGCUUCGAAACAACGAACCUUCGCAACGGUGCACAGUUAGGGGGAACACAUCUCUUGAAAUUUUAGUGAGGGGUCAUCUUAUUUAUGCUACCGUCGUUCUAAGCAAAUAAGAUGUAAACAUGACAAACAUCACAUGCAAAUCAUAAAGUGACAUGAUAUGGCCAGUAUCAUCUUGCGCCUUUUGAUCUCCAUCUUCGAGGCGCGGCAUGAUCACCUUCGUCACCGGCAUGACACCAUGAUCUCCAUCAUCAUGAUCUCCAUCAUUGUGUCUUCAUGAAGUUGUCUCGUCAACUAUUACUUCUACUACUAUGGCUAACGGUUAUCAAUAAAGUAAAGUAAUUACAUGGCAUUUUUCAUUGACACGCAGGUCAUACAAUAAAUUAAGACAACUCCUAUGGCUCCUGCCGGUUGUCAUACUCAUCGACAUGCAAGUCGUGAUUCCUAUUACAAGAACAUGAUCAAUCUCAUACAUCACAUAUAUAUAAUUCAUCACAUCCUUUUGGCCAUAUCACAUCACAUAGCAUACCCUGCAAAAACAAGUUAGACGUCCUCUAAUUGUUGUUGCAUGUUUUACGUGGCUGCUAUGGGUUUCUAGCAAAAGCCACAACGGUGAUAUGCCAAUUGCUAUUUACCCUUCAUAAGGACCCUCUUCGUCGAAUCCGAUCCGACUAAAGUGGGAGAGACAGACACCCGCUAGCCACCUUAUGCAUCAAGUGCAUGUCAGUCGGUGGAACCUGUCUCACGUAAGAGUACGUGUAAGGUCGGUCCGGUCCGCUUCAUCCCACAAUGCCGCCGAAUCAAGAUAAGACUAGUAAGGGCAAGCAAAUUGACCAAAUCAUCGCCCACAACUACUUUGUGUUCUACUCGUGCAUAGAAUCUACGCAUAGACCUAGCUCAUGAUGCCACUGUUGGGGAACGUAGUAAUAAUUCAAAAAAAUUCCUACGUGUCACCAAGAUCAAUCUAGGAGAUGCUAGCAACGAGAGAGAGAGGGAGUGCAUCUUCAUACCCUUGAAGAUCGCUAAGCGGAAGCGUUAUAAGAGCGCGGUUGAUGGAGUUGUACUCGCGGCGAUUCAAAUCGUGGAAGAUCCUAUCUAGCGCCCAACGGACGGCGCCUCCGCGUUCAACACACGUAGAGCCCGGGGACGUCUCCUCCUUCUUGAUCCAGCAAGGGGAGAGGAGAAGUUGAGGGAGAACUCCAGCAGCACGACGACAUGGUGGCAAUGGAGCUCGUGGUUCUCCGGCAGGGCUUCGCCAAGCACUACGGAGGAGGAGGAGAUGUAUGAGGAGGAAGGGGCUGCGCCAAGGGAAGGGUAUGGCUGCCCUCCCACCCCCUCACUAUAUAUAGGGGGAAGGGGAGAGGGGGCCGGCCCCUCUAGAUGCAUCUAGAGGAGGAGGCGGCGGCCAGGGGAAACCCUAGAUGGGUUUGGGCGCCCCCACCCCCUAGGAAACUUGCCCCCCAAGCCGGGAGGGGCGGCUUCCCUAGGGGUGGCGCCCCCACCUCUCCUGGUUAUGUGAGAGGGGUUGGGAGGGGCGCACAGCCCCUUAGUGGGCUGGUUUGCCCCUUCCCCUUGGCCCAUAAGGCCCCCCAACGCUUGCCGGGGCCUCCGAAACCCCUUUCGGACAUGCUGGCCAUAGCCUGGUACCCCCGGAACAAUUCCGGACUCCAAUACCCUUCGUCCAAUAUACCGAUCUUCACCUCCGGACCAUUCCGGAGCUCCUCAUCAUGUCCAGGAUCUCAUCCGGGACUCCGAACAACCUUCGGUAACCACAUACUAUUUCACAUAACAACUCUAGCGUCACCGAACCUUAAGUGUGUAGACCCUACGGGUUCGGGAACCAUGCAGACAUGACCGAGACAUUCUCCGGCCAAUAACCAACAGCGGGAUCUGGAUACCCAUGUUGGCUCCCACAUGUUCCACGAUGAUCUCAUCGGAUGAACCACGAUGUCGGGGAUUCAAUCAAUCCCGUAUACAAUUCCCUUUGUCUAUCGGUAUGUUACUUGCCCGAGAUUCGAUCGUCGGUAUCCCAAUACCUCGUUCAAUCUCGUUACCGGCAAGUCUCUUUACUCGUUCCGUAACGCAUGAUCCCGUGGCUAACUCCUUAGUCACAUUGAGCUCAUUAUGAUGAUGCAUUACCGAGUGGGCCCAGAGAUACCUCUCCGUCAUACGGAGUGACAAAUCCCAGUCUCAGUUCGUGCCAACCCAACAGACCCUUUCGGAGAUACCUGUAAUGCACCUUUAUAGCCACCCAGUUACGUUGUGACGUUUGGUACACCCAAAGCAUUCCUACGGUAUCCGGGAGUUGCACAAUCUCAUGGUCUAAGGAAAUGAUACUUGACAUUAGAAAAGCUCUUAGCAAACGAAUUACACGAUCUUGUGCUAUGCUUAGGACUGGGUCUUGUCCAUCACAUCAUUCUCCUAAUGAUGUGAUCCCGUUAUCAAUGUCAUCCAAUGUCCAUGGUCAGGAAACCAUAACCAUCUAUUGAUCAAUGAGCUAGUCAACUAGAGGCUUACUAGGGACAUGUUGUGGUCUAUGUAUUCACACAUGUAUUACGGUUUCCAGUUAAUACAAUUAUAGCAUGAACAAUAGACAAUUAUCAUGAACAAGGAAAUAUAAUAAUAACCAUUUUAUUAUUGCCUCUAGGGCAUAUUUCCAACAUAUAGAAAAGAACAAAAAUAUGCUUAUCUAUGACAUUUAGCAAUAGCCAAUGUUUAUCUGCCGCAUUUAAAAGAAGAGAUCUUUAGCUACAACAUUAAAACUAACCCAAUCUGUAGUUACAACAUUUAAGGCUUCCUUAUCUUUAGCUGCAACAUUUAAUACUAGACAUGACAUUUAAGAAUUCCCUAUCUUUAGCUACAAAAUUUAAGACUAGACGAUAAAGUCAGUACCUAUGUUUGGCAAUGGAAAAAUACAAAAAAAUGGAUAACCAUUCAAUUAGUGUUUGUUAAUGUUGAGUAAUUACAAUACUAGUUACAAUUCUACUAUAUAUAUUGACCCGGGCAAGUAAUGGAUACAUAGAAAAACCUAGUGAAUUACUUACACAAUGGGGAAGCACAUCAAGCACAAUGCCCAACUUUUCAUCUUACUUUCCAUGGUUCUUCUAAGCUGCAUGGUUUCUUCAGCCGUACAGGGUAAUGAACAAUUAUAAAUAAUUAUUUCAUGAAAUUUUAGUGUUCAUCCUUAUGUUUAAAGAUUGUUUCGUCAACCUUGAGUACUCACCCCUUGGAAAGAUCUGGAGUGUCUACAUGUUCAUAUGCAAAAUGAAAUUACCUUCAUGUUGAGAUGAUAUAAAUUUAUUUGAUUUUCACUUCAGGACAGAGCAUUGACGACAAGGGGAGCAGCACAACGGCUAUACGGCCUAACGAUGACCCCGACUGUGUGAGAGAGACGAAGUUGAAGUGGCCGCGGAAACGACAGUAUUGCUGCAACUAUUUUGCCUAUACUGGUCCAUGCUACGAUGACUAUACUAUCUGCAAAGCCCAUUGCCCGUGAUUCAACACAAUUCCCAUGAAUAGUUUUCAUGUAAUAAGGAAGAGAUGAUAUGCAAUAAGUUUUCCUAUCAAUAUUUACUUUUCCAAUUGCUCAAAUGAAUAAAGAUAUGAUUUCCUAAAUUAUUAUGGUGCUUGUACUUAUCCCUAUCAACUGUUUUAUCAAGAAAUACAAUUUUUGUG
rnacentral:lncRNA from 1 species